GCCUUCUCCUGUCUGCCACCACGUGAGAUGUGCCUUUCACCUUCCACUAUGAUUGUGAGGCCUCACCAGCCAUGUGGAACUAGUUCAAGAUUUCAACAUUUUAAGAUAAUCUGAAAAAAAUUGGAAUGUGCCCCCAGCUGCGCUACUGGUGACUUCUUCAACAGUUGAGAAACUGAACUAUGUGUUCAUGAAAAUACUCCAUCAUUAAAGUUUAUGCAAUACUCUCUCAACACUGUUUAUCAAAGGAACCAAUAUGGAAGGAAAAACAUUGCUUUGAAGGGAAGAUGGAUGGAUCCCCUAGUAAACUACAGCUUGAGAGGCAGAGUUUCACCCUGUUGUCCAGCCUACAGUGCAGUAGCGUGAUCAUAGCUUACUGCAUCCAAAAACUCCUGGGCUCAAGUGAUCCUUCCGCCCCAGUCUCCCAGGCAAGUACCAUGUGCCCAGCUAAGUUUUUAAAAAUGUUUUCUAGAGAUAAGUCUCGCUGUGUUGUCCAGGCUCAUCUCAAAAUCCUGGCCUCAAAGGAUCCUCCCACCUCCCAAAGUGCUGGGAUUACCAGCAUGAGCUACCAUGCCCAGCUGACAAUGAUUUCUUUCUAGUUUAUGAAAAAUGACCAAUGUGGUUUGGCAGGAGCUCAGCUUACUGUUCUGUUCAUCAUAGACCCUCACAGACACAUACUGAAGGGGAAUCCAUCUUCAUGCAUGCUUACAUCAUUACUGUAGUAGCAGAAGAACUCUAGAGGGUCUGGCAUUGUCAAUUAAAUGCUUAAUUCUGGAAUUGAAUCACAACCCACUAGAUAGAACCAGUCACACAUCCUCACCCCAAUACAAAGGAAGGGACUGGGAUGUGUAAUUCUCCCAUAUGCUUCAAUGAAGCAAGAAAUCAUAUACUGGUGCAUAGUUAGGAGUCUACCACCUUCUUCAAUUGCUUACUUUAAGAGUUUUCCUUACUUAUGCUGGCAUAGCAUAAUUAAAAGUAAUGGCAAAAAUUGCAAUUAUUUUUGCACCAACCUAAUAUUUGGAGAAAAGGAAAAAGAAAUAUUUCCUCUUCAAAAAU
rnacentral:lncRNA from 10 species